CACGUAGUUAGCCGAUGCUUAUUCCUUAGCUACCGUCACUUUCUUCUUCACUAAGAAAAGAAGUUUAACAAUCCGAAAACCGUCUUCCUUCACGCGGCGUUGCUGCAUCAGGGUUUCCCCCAUUGUGCAAUAUUCCCCACUGCUGCCUCCCGUAGGAGUCUGGGCCGUAUCUCAGUCCCAAUGUGGCCGUUCAACCUCUCAGUCCGGCUACUGAUCGUCGACUUGGUAGGCCGUUACCCCACCAACUAUCUAAUCAGACGCGAGCCCAUCUUUCAGCGGAUUGCUCCUUUGAUAUCAAACCGAUGCCGAUUCAAUAUAUCAUGCGGUAUUAGCGACCGUUUCCAGCCGUUAUCCCCCUCUGAAACGGCAGGUUGCUCACGUGUUACUCACCCGUCCGCCACUAACGUUAAAAGCUCGUCACUCCGAAGAGAUCUAAGCAAGUAACUUCGUUCGACUUGCAUGUGUUAGGCACGCCGCCAGCGUCGUCUCGUAGCUACGGAGUCAAACUACUCUAC
rnacentral:rRNA from 1 species